UACGUAGGGGGCUAGCGUUGUCCGGAAUCAUUGGGCGUAAAGCGCGUGUAGGCGGCCCGAUAAGUCCGCUGUGAAAGUCCAGGGCUCAACCCUGGGAUGCCGGUGGAUACUGUCGGGCUAGAGUCCGGAAGAGGCGAGUGGAAUUCCUGGUGUAGCGGUGAAAUGCGCAGAUAUCAGGAGGAACACCAAUGGCGAAGGCAGCUCGCUGGGACGUGACUGACGCUGAGACGCGAAAGCGUGGGGAGCAAACAGG
rnacentral:rRNA from 1 species